AUUCUGGAUAGCUCCGUUGGUUAGAGCGUGGUGAUGAUAUCACCAAGGUUAUAGGUUUGAUCCCCAUUUGGGAUG